UUCCGGUUGAUCCUGCCGGAGGUCACUGCUAUUGGGAUUCGAUUAAGCCAUGCGAGUCGAGAGGGUUCGGCCCUCGGCGGACUGCUCAGUAACACGUGGAUAAUCUGCCCUUAGGUGGAGGAUAACCUCGGGAAACUGAGAAUAAUACUCCAUAGGUUUAGGAUGCUGGAAUGCGCCUAAACUCAAAGAUUUAUCGCCUAAGGAUGAGUCUGCGGACUAUCAGGUUGUAGUCAGGGUAAUGGCCUGACUAGCCUACAACGGAUACGGGUUGUGAGAGCAAUAACCCGGAGAUGAUAUCUGAGACACGAUAUCGGGCCCUACGGGGCGCAGCAGGCGCGAAACCUUCACACUGUGCGAAAGCGCGAUGAGGGGAUCCCAAGUGCUUGCUCUUAGGAGUAAGCUGUUUUCCUGUUUAAAUCGCAGGAAGAGGAAGGGCUGGGUAAGACGGGUGCCAGCCGCCGCGGUAAUACCUGCAGCUCAAGUGGUGACCGCUAUUAUKGGGCCUAAAACGUCCGUAGCCGGCUGAGUAAAUGCCUGGGUAAAUCGUGUCGCUUAACGAUACGAAUUCCGGGUAGACUGCUUAGCUUGAGACCGGGAGAAGCUAGAGGUACUCCUGGGGUAGAGGUGAAAUUCUGUAAUCUUGGGGGGACCACCAGUGGCGAAAGCGUCUAGUUAGAACGGGUCUGACGGUGAGGGACGAAACCCUGGGGCGCGAACCGGAUUAGAUACCCGGGUAGUCCAGGGCGCAAACGCUGCUUGCUUGAUGUUAGCUGGGCUCCGAGCUCGGCUAGUGUCGGAGAGAAGUUGUUAAGCAAGCUGCCUGGGAAGUACGAUCGCAAGAUUGAAACUUAAAGGAAUUGGCGGGGGAGCACAGCAACGGGAGGAGCGUGCGGUUUAAUUGGAUUCAACGCCGGGA
rnacentral:rRNA from 1 species